rnacentral:rRNA from 1 species
GGGUGAGUAACACGUGGAUAAUCUACCUUGAUGUUUGGGAUAGCACAUGGAAACAUGUGAUAAUACCGGAUAAUAGGCCAUAUACACAGGUAUAAGGCGGGAAAGCUCCUAUGGGAGCGCAUUGAGAUGAGUCCGCGGCCCAUUAGCUGGUUGGUGAGGUAAAGGCCCACCAAGGCGACGAUGGGUAGCCGGCCUGAGAGGGUGGACGGCCACAUUGGGACUGAGAUACGGCCCAGACUCCUACGGGAGGCAGCAGCUAAGAAUCUUCCACAAUGGACGAAAGUCUGAUGGAGCGACGCCGCGUGAACGAUGAAGGCCGUGAGGUUGUAAAGUUCUUUUCAUGAGGAGGAAUAAGUCGAUCAGGGAAUGGGUUGAUGAUGACGAUAAUCAUGGAAUAAGCCCCGGCUAACUACGUGCCAGCAGCCGCGGUAACACGUAGGGGGCGAGCGUUGUUCGGAAGUAUUGGGCGUAAAGGGUGCGCAGGUGGCAGAGCAAGUCUGAUGUAAAAGUUCUCGGCUCAACCGAGUGAUGCGUUGGAAACUGUUUUGCUUGAGUACAGGAGGGGAUGUUGGAAUUCCAGGUGUAGGGGUGAAAUCUGUAGAUAUCUGGAAGAACACCGG